rnacentral:rRNA from 1 species
GAUGAACGCUGGCGGCGUGCCUAAUACAUGCAAGUCGAGCGAACAGGCGAGGAGCUUGCUCCUUUGACGUUAGCGGCGGACGGGUGAGUAACACGUGGGUAACCUACCUAUAAGACUGGGAUAACUUCGGGAAACCGGAGCUAAUACCGGAUAAUAUUUCGAACCGCAUGGUUCGAUAGUGAAAGAUGGCUCUGCUAUCACUUAUAGAUGGACCUGCGCCGUAUUAGCUAGUUGGUAAGGUAACGGCUUACCAAGGCAACGAUACGUAGCCGACCUGAGAGGGUGAUCGGCGACACUGGAAGUGAGAAACGGUCCAGACUCCUACGGGAGGCAGCAGUAGGGAAUCUUCCGCAAUGGGCGAAAGCCUGACGGAGCAACGCCGCGUGAGUGAUGAAGGUCUUCGGAUCGUAAAACUCUGUUAUUAGGGAAGAACAAACGUGUAAGUAACUGUGCACGUCUUGACGGUACCUAAUCAGAAAGCCACGGCUAACUACGUG